rnacentral:rRNA from 1 species
UACGGAGGGGGCUAGCGUUGUUCGGAAUUACUGGGCGUAAAGCGCACGUAGGCGGCUUUGUAAGUCAGAGGUGAAAGCCCGGGGCUCAACCCCGGAUGUGCCUUUGAGACUGCAUCGCUUGAACGUCGGAGAGGUGAGUGGAAUUCCGAGUGUAGAGGUGAAAUUCGUAGAUAUUCGCAAGAACACCAGUGGCGAAGGCGGCUCACUGGCCCGGUACUGACGCUGAGGUGCGAAAGCGUGGGGAGCAAACAGG